UGGAAACUACUCUUCAACUGGGUGAAGAUGAAUACCUCUGCUAGUGUGUAGGAAACCACCAACAUUGAGAUGUUGAACAUUCAUCGUCUCGAGCAUCUUCCCAGCUGUAGAACACUAUCGGAUUUUCCUGUCAAAACAAAAUAACUGUGAUGGCGCUAUCUUGAACAACAACACUUGCUAAGAAAAAUUUGCUUAAAAAAUUUGCAAUUGCAUUAUUAAGUGUUAAAUAUACAUGGAUAAAUCAUGUUUUGUUCAGGACAGCACUCUGGAUUAAAACUAAGAGUUCAAGUAACUAAGUCGCUGUUACCAACAUACUUAGUUCACCUGUAUUAGUAUAACACAAUGACAGCCAAAGUAUACAAACACAAAAUCAGUGCAUUAACCUUUGUUCUCAUCCAACCCAGAAAUAGCGCUCACCCACAGGUGUAGAUUGGAAAAAGUAGAACCUCCUGCUUUUGCUGAGCCCAUAGUGUAGAAUUUCCCCAGAAAGUCUACAUGCACAGCGUUUCCUCUACUAUCACCACUAUAAAUAUCACAUACAAUGAAAGACAAAAGACUUUAUGGAUGUUCUGUGUCCUUCAGUGAGGACAACUUGUCUCAAGGUGACCACAAAGCAGCCAGGGCUAUGUGUCUCCACACAUGAAGCAAUAACAACUUUUCUGCACUUUUCCACACUCAGCAACCUCAACAAA